CUCCAUUCACACUCCAUUCACACCUAGUUUUCGAAUGCUGUAGAAGGCUCAUCCCUCCAACUCUUCGCCCUGCACCCCGCCGCCCACAGCCACCGCAGUCUCUGCCACCACUGCAGCCACGCAGCCCCCGCAUCAGUCCUCGCAGCUCCCCGUAACCCCCACAGUCUCGCAGCCCCUAAGCGGCGCAGCCACCGCAGACCCUACACAGACACAGCCUCCACUGCCAUCGUAGAAGAUCCGUUGCCAUCGGAUUCUGAGCUUCUUUUCGUUCCAGAUCAAUGCUUUCUUUGUCAGAUUCCCUUCGCGCAGCUGGUAUCGAUGCCUUGAUCUACGGCGGCAACAAAUGAGCCUCAACAUAUUGCUGCGACAUAAAGUUGUUAAACUCAUUCGGAGAUAUCUAGAAAACAUCCACGGUUUUGUUGAGUGUUGAUCUUUACCCUUUUCUAGUCAUAAGGUAGAUUGAAACUCCAAUACUGUCUAAAUCCACGCCAGAAGGUGCCUGGGAUUAUUUAGUUCCUUCAAGAACCCAGGGUUAAUUCUGGUUUGGUCAAGCCUGGUGAUGUUGGAAGCUUGUCAGAGUUUGCAGCUAGGUUGCCUCAAUUAAGAGCCGUUGUUCUGCAUAGUCCCAUACUUUCUGGCUUAAGGGUCAUGUAUCCGGUCAAGCACACAUGCUGGUUCGACAUAUAUAAGAAUAUCGACAAAAUUCCAUUAGUUAAUUGUCCUGUUCUUAUAAUCCAUACUAGUAGAUCAUUAUAUGGUGCCUUAAUUGGUUCUGUUUUGGCCUUCAAUGUUGCUGACUACUUAGGUAGAAGAAGGGAGUUGGUUUCAACGGCAUUGUUAUAUCUUGUCGGAGCACUCGUAAUAGCACUAGCUCCAAAUCUUUCUAUAUUGGUGAUAGGGAGAUUUGUUUAUGGUAUAGGAAUUGGAUUGGUACAAGCACAACUAGUUUGAGGCUAACGAUCCUUAUUAAAAAUGUGUUCAUGGAAUGAAAAUGCACCUGCAAUGCAAGACCUUGUUAAUCUGACAUGGGUGUAAAGGCAUGAGACUUGUACCAUAUCCAGUCACCAAUGGAGGUGAUUAAAUGAGCAGCUCCUACCACCUAAUCAUCCUGCUAUUGUUGUGCCUAGGCUUCUUGCUGGUUUGACUUUGCCUAGCCCAUUACCAAUUGAAACUGGGAAUGGAAAGGAGAGAGGUAUACUUUAUUUUGGAUAAUGCUACUACUUAGCAAGCAUUUAGCUACUAUGUGGAGUCAGGAGAUGUCAAAAUUAACUUUUAAUAUGGAGCUUGAUGCUGCCAAUGCAACUUAAUUAUCUAUUAAUAUUUUAGAUUAGUCUAUCUUUAAGUGCUAAGUGUAAUUUGUGACAUUCAUGUAACAUUGGGAUGAUCAUCUUAUUCUUUUUGGGUAUCUUUUUAUUAAGACAAUGAGAUAUUAGCCAAUGAUGUUGAAAAAUAACAUCCAAUUUUAUAGGUAUCAUGCAAUGAAUAUUAUGUUUAUUUA